rnacentral:lncRNA from 1 species
AUAAAAAAAUAAAUACACUUUCUUAUAUAUUUAUAUCAUUUACUGACUGAUUAGUUUAUUCUAACCCCUCUGUGUGUUUCCAUCUGUCUCUAUUGUCUCUUCUCUGUAUGUUGCAGUGACUUUACACAGAUGUUCUGUCCAGAUGUGCUCACGGUUCCGGUACUGUGAGCUGGACUCUUCCUCUCAGAGCCCUGUGACUUCCUAUAACUGACUCUGAGUCAGUAAGGAAAGUGAAAGUAUGAAAGUGAAACUAGGUCGAGUUGUUUGUGAGACUGAGAGAGUGACACGUCCAGCUCAGAGCUGACUGCUGCUCAACAAACUGCUUCACAUACAAAACAAGAAGAAGAAGAAGAAGAAGAAGAAGAAGCAGCUGUAGUCGGGCCCAGCUCUCCUCCUCCUCCUCUCAGCACCAUGCCUGACUCCCAGCUGUGCCUUGAGGCCCUGUCGGCUCUGUCCGGCUGUAACGUGGAGGCGACCAGCGGCGUGUCGCAGCUCAGCCCGCAGGACUUCGUCAACAUCGUCACCCUCAAGGAGUUCUACAAGCAGGAGGGCUUCAAGGAGCUGGAGUACCCGAGCAUCGGGACCCUGUCCCUGCAGGACCCGGAAGACCAGGACCUGUACAGCGCUCCCCUGGCGCUCACAGAAGGGCCCGGACCGGAACCGAGCCUCCGGGCCACCGUGAAGAUCAACCUGCAGGACUUCUUCCACCCUCAGUACGACUACGACUUCACCAACAUCAAGGACGGCAGCGCCCAGUACCUGCGUGGCAACGAGCCGUACAUCCGCCCCUGCGGGUGGAACCGGGUCGCCCUGCGGGUCAGCAAGAAGUAUGACGACAGCGACGUCUGGCUGGGGACGGGGAAGGACGCCUGGCCCGUCUCCUACAACGGACACAACAUGGACGGAUCCCUCGGCAUCAUCCUGGCCCACAAGGGGGGCCCGUCCGAUGAGCCCAGCUUCCUGGAUGCUGCCGCCGCCUCCCUGGUGGAGGAGCGGAAGAGGGGCCGAGGAGUCUACUCCACGCCGGACAUCAAGAUGGCGGAGAAGUACUGCAAGAGGUUCAAGUCCAAGGUGGACGGGAAGACCUACAAAGUGGUUCUGCAGAACCGCAUCAACCCGGAGAAGAGAGUGAAGUGCCAGAGAGACCACUUCUGGGUGGUCUACAUCCCCGAGGACUACAGCGACCUCCAGACCAAGGCCAUCGUGCAGGAGUCCAUCCGACCAUACGGGCUGCUGCUGAAGCAGGCGUGAGGAGGCGUCCGGUCAGAGGAUCGUCAGAGGAUCCAUCGGGUCGACCUGAAGGUUUAUUGAUCGUCAACAACAGACCUCUCCGCUGGGUCAGACGGUGAACUGUCUCUUCACUUCCUGCUACACUGAUCCACAGAACCAGAUAACUUCUGCCGACCCGAAACUUUCAGCUGCCUGAUUUUAACCUCUGUAGAAUUCAGAUCAUGUUUGUCUUUAACACUCACAUCUUUUACAAUCGAUUGUGUCACGACGGGAAGAUAAAAAUAAAAAAGUCUGUCAUCCUGGCAGCAGUGGACACGGUGCGUUCAAAUGUAAGACCAGACUGUGGGAAAGACGAAAACAAGACUCAAAUCUGGUGAACUGAUAAUUCUGCCAUCCGAUGUGUCUUCGGCCUCUCUUGUAGAGACACCCAGUUCUUCCAGAAUUGAUCUGAUUUGAAAUGUUACUCUGCUUUUAUUCUUCAUUGUUGCACAAAAUGUUGAAAUCGCAAGUUUCCACAAGUGUUUUUAUUAUUCCAGUGAGGGUGAAGAGAUCUGGAGUCAGGGAAUGAUGAGAUGUGACCUGAUUUUAUUGUUGAUUAUUGUUUUCUUCUGUCUCAUGAACACAGAGCCGUUAUGAUCGCGUCAUGUGGAGAAAAUGUUUUGAUGUGAAUCUGUUCUUCCUGUUUGUACGUUAUUAAACAUGUAACACAGAUCCUGGAGUGUGUUUCCUGUUGUUAAUGUUAUUAAAGUGUUACUAAGGUGUGACAGAGACGCCUUCACAGAUCUUUGUUUCCUUUU